UACGUAGGGUGCAAGCGUUGUCCGGAAUUAUUGGGCGUAAAGAGCUCGUAGGCGGUCUGUCGCGUCUGCUGUGAAAACUCAGGGCUUAACCCUGAGCUUGCAGUGGGUACGGGCAGACUAGAGUGCGGUAGGGGAGACUGGAAUUCCUGGUGUAGCGGUGGAAUGCGCAGAUAUCAGGAGGAACACCGAUGGCGAAGGCAGAUCUCUGGGCCGUAACUGACGCUGAGGAGCGAAAGCAUGGGGAGCGAACCGG
rnacentral:rRNA from 1 species